AACACCCUACACUGCACCUUCUCUCCCUUUCACCUACCUCUCCCCCAUCCUGUGCGAGCUCUAGCUCUCCCCCUCUCCUUCAUCUCUCCUCUCUCCUUCCUCUUCCGAGGCGUCCUCUCUGAGCUCCGAUCCCAUCCCCAAAUAGUCGUCGCUUUCGCCCCCGACCUUCUCGGCCCCCUGUGCACCGGCGCAACGUCACCAUCGGUCACCUUGGCGCAACGUCACUGUCCACUUCGCCGCUGCCAACAACAUCUAGAAUCUCUAGUUCUUCAAGGAGAUCCACUACAUCAAGUAUGCAUCCCUCCAUUCCCCUCUUGGAGAUUAAGUUUUUAUAGAUUGGGAGAAAAGAGGAGAUUGUGAUUCGGGAGAGAAAAUUGACCUAAAUAAAAUAUUAUCAUGAGGAUCUUACAAGAGUAAUCAAUCUUAAUUUCAUAAUGUACUCGUUAAGCUACUAGAAUCUGUCUCCUGUAUUAUGAGCUAAAUCUACUGAUAAUGCUUUCAAAGAAGUGAAUGAACUUUUCAUAAAAGUUUUCAGAAUGUGUGGUAUUUUAUGUGCAUCAAAAUCGUUCACACAAGUUUUCAUUUAGUGAAAGGGUAAUGUAGUUGGAGAAGAAUUAAAUCAAAAUGUUUUAAUUACAGAGACUUCUAGGCAAAGGUGUCACACAUGAUGAAGAAACAGUUAAGAAGAGAUGCUAGAUUGUCUUUACUUGUUCUAUGAAUAACUGAAUUUCUCCUCAACAGGUCAAGGAAAGCUAUGCAGAUUGUGGAAUGCAAUUUAUUAUUAACUUAUUAUUUUGUAUCAAUAAAUUAUUGUUUGGAAAUAAUAUUACUUCUAGACUCUUUCUCGCCAUACUCAAGUGAAUAUAUUAGUUGUGAACUUUUUAGUUUUUGGAAUCACUUGUGGCUCUCAGCUCUGUUUGUCAGUUAUAGUUGGUUUAUUCAACCUCUAAAUAGAGAAUAUAAUUCUUGCGCAACGUCGCCUCGGCCACGUUGAGCACCACCACAUCGCCGGCGUUGUCGACUUCGCCGCUGCCGACAACGUCUACGAUCUCCAAUUUUUCGAGGGGAUUCGUCGCAUCAAAUUACAUUGCGACAAGCUUGGUAGCCUGACGCAUGAAAUAACUCUUAGGAUCAAUAAAUGCUGUUUAAUGGAUACCAGUGGGGUACAUCUUGGCUAAAUUGCAGCACUGUAGCACUGUAGCACUAAUUGGAGUCCUCGGUCUAUAUUCUUCGUUCACCCUUAAUAAAGCUUGGAUUUUGAACAAGAUUAGGUAUAGUUGUUUGUUUCAGUGUAGUGCGCUUGUGUAGCUUUUUCGAGCUUUUUUGUAAAAAUCCAAUUGCAUGAUAAUUCGUUGAAAAUUGUAGAUUUAUGAAUUAAGCA